GUCCCUCUCAUGUGCGCUGGCCGACCCUGCCCUGCGUUCGCUGCGCGCUAUAUGUGUGCGGGUUAGUGAGAGAAAGGGCGGCAAAGGGCCGUAUUGGAAAGGCGCUGAUCACGUUUGUGGCUAAGCAGUUUGUAUGGAUCUCCUUGCAGAUCCCGUAGGACUCCUUUGGCUGUCGUCCCAUCAGAACUCCUCUCUUCAAGGAGAGACGGCUCGAUGGUGCUCAGAUGGAGAGAGCGCUGUCAGAGGAGUGGCAUGUGACUAAUCAGGUCUGGGCUCGGCUCCCUGCUUCCCAAACCCUAUUCUGCUGAUUCAAAAGGCCACUGAGACUCCGUGGUAAUGGGAAAGCAUGAUGGGAAUCAGAGAAAGUCGAGAAGUAUCGCAGCUGAUGUAGCUUUCCUUGGCGUCUGACAUAAUAUGGGAAACAAUGACUUCAGUGGUUUAAUUGAGGAAAAUCCAAACGCGGUGUGAAGUUGCUGUGUUUUCGUGGCUCGGUGUAGGAGCUACCAACAAGCAGUUUUAUAUGCUGAAUCAGUGGGCAAGAAGGAAGAGCAAAAAAGAAAAAGAAUCCGAUGCCUAUUCCGAAGUAUUACCCUGGAUCCUGUCAGGGAAAAACUGACACAGGCACAUUUCACAGUGAAUGGCACUUCUCUUCCACCACACUGGUCAGAUCACUCAGAGCAACAUAACAGUACACAUCUACCAGGCCUCCUCUGAUCUCUCCCAGGAAGGAGACAACACUUUCAUAUCAAUACCCUGUCAUCUCACAAUGUGGCAUCUUCCCCUUUGAAGGUACAGUAGCGUUGUUACUGUUGCUCAGAUGUGAAACUCUUUCUUAGCUUUUAUCAUCC
ensembl:lncRNA